rnacentral:snRNA from 1 species
AUCGCGCUUGGUUGAAAA